rnacentral:rRNA from 1 species
AAGCAAAACAGCGAUGUGGAGCGAAUCCAGAAAAAUAUGUCCCAGUUCAGAUUGCAGGCUGCAACUCGCCUGCAUGAAGUCGGAAUUGCUAGUAAUCGCGGAUCAGCAUGCCGCGGUGAAUACGUUCCCGGGCCUUGUACACACCGCCCGUCACACCAUGAGAGUCGGGAACACCCGAAGUCCGUAGCCUAACCGCAAGGGGGGCGCGGCCGAAGGUGGGUUCGAUAAUUGGGGUGAAGUCGUAACAAGGUAGC